rnacentral:rRNA from 1 species
CGUAGGUGGCCUGCUAAGUCGAACGUGAAAUCCCCGGGCUCAACCCGGGAACUGCGUCCGAGACUGGUAGGCUUGAAUCCGGGAGAGGGACGUGGAAUUCCAGGUGUAGCGGUGAAAUGCGUAGAUAUCUGGAGGAACACCGGUGGCGAAGGCGGCAUCCUGGACCGGUAUUGACACUGAGGCGCGAAAGCCAGGGGAGCAAACG